GUCACUGCUUCCCACUGCUGUCCUGAGGCAUCCUGGGAAGAAUUUGCCUGAGCCAGUCCAGAAAUGGCCGUGUGUGGAGACAUCAUGCCGCAGUCAAACCGCAUUUCCCGCCAUCAGGCUUUCAUUAUCUCGAGGAUGGUACCCGUGAAGAGACUGCCUUGAGAGGAGAGGACCAAGUACCUGUGACCACUUCAGAACCAAGCCCAUACAACUUUAAAAAUAUUGAAAAUAUUCUCCACAACUGCACUAACCCAAAAGUGGAAAGGGGAGUAAUGUUCCAGACAGGGCUGAGAAAUUAGAUAUUAAAUAAAGUAGAAUACUAUUCAACUAUAUAGGUGAAAGGUUAAUAAAACAGGUACUUGUCACUCCCUGUUUUUCUGUAUGCUUAACAAAAACUAUUGAAAUCUUGAGAACUGUUUGCUAAUCUUGUUCCCAGAAUGUACUGUCCCCAACUGCCAAAUUGCAGAAUGUAUUCCCUCACCCGGUUGCAGGCAAACCGCCCACUCGCCCUGAGCCGUCAAUGAACUUCCCUCCCUGCCCUCUCCAAGGAAAGUAUAUGAGCUCUGCUUAAGCUGUUCUCGGGGCUCUCUGCUCUAUUCAAGUGAGCUCUGAGCCCCAGCAUGCUGGACCCCCAAUAAACCCUUUGCUGUUGCAUGAGAC
rnacentral:lncRNA from 1 species